CAUCUGUAUCAAGUAUAUAUGAGGAAUCCUGUUUGCCAACAGUACCAUCACCUAGACAUUCUAGAGAGGAAUCCUGUUUGCUAUCAGCACCAUCACCAGGACAUUCUAGGGG